rnacentral:rRNA from 1 species
CCCUAGAGGAGCCUGUUCCAUAAUCGAUAAACCCCGAUCUACCUGACCCUCUCUUGCUUAGCCUAUAUACCGCCAUCUUCAGCAAACCCUGAUAAAGGUUACAAAGUGAGCACAAACGCCCUGCCGCCGCAAAAACGUUAGGUCAAGGUGUAGCCCAUGAGAGGGUAAAAAUGGGCUACAUUUUCUACAUCAGAAAACCCCACGAAAACUCUUAUGAAACCUGAGAGUCCAAGGAGGAUUUAGCAGUAAAUUAAGAAUAGAGUGCUUAAUUGAACCAGGCCAUAAAGCGCGUACACACCGCCCGUCACUCCCCUCAAAUAUAUUUAAGGAACACCCUAACUAAACGCCCUAAUAUUUAUAUAGAGGGGAUAAGUCGUAACAUGGUAAGUGUACUGGAAGGUGCACUUGGAC